ACGGGAGGCAGCAGUGGGGAAUAUUGCACAAUGGGGGAAACCCUGAUGCAGCGACGCCGCGUGAGUGAAGAAGUAUUUCGGUAUGUAAAGCUCUAUCAGCAGGGAAGAUAAUGACGGUACCUGACUAAGAAGCCCCGGCUAACUACGUGCCAGCAGCCGCGGUAAUACGUAGGGGGCAAGCGUUAUCCGGAUUUACUGGGUGUAAAGGGAGCGCAGACGGCCAUGCAAGUCUGAAGUGAAAUCCACGGGCUCAACCCGUGAACUGCUUUGGAAACUGUAAGGCUAGAGUGCAGGAGAGGUAAGUGGAAUUCCUAGUGUAGCGGUGAAAUGCGUAGAUAUUAGGAGGAACACCAGUGGCGAAGGCGGCUUACUGGACGAUAACUGACGUUGAGGCUCGAAAGCGUGGGGAGCAAACAGGAUUAGAUACCCUGGUA
rnacentral:rRNA from 1 species